rnacentral:lncRNA from 1 species
GCCUCAGUGAAUGGAUAAACCGUCUAACAAUAGAAAAUCUAGAAAGUUUAGCUAUGAUACUCAUGAUAACAUAACAUACCAUACAUUACUAAUACAUUUUUAAAACAUAUUAUAUGCUAAACAGGAAUAAAACUAUAUAAAAGAUUAUUUUAAACUAAAAAAAUCUGCUAGCUACUAUCGAUUACACUACAACGCACCCCUACCAUGGGCAAUCGAUAUGGAGCAUCUGAUACUGCUGAGCCCCACUGGGUA